GUCCUUUGUGUGGCUCCUUGUUCUUGUUCAGUUACUCUCAGAAUAAGGCAACACGCAAAGGAUU
ensembl:miRNA mdo-mir-12297j mdo-mir-12297j